CCUAGUAUCUCUUUUUGGAUAUAAAAGUUUAGGUUGUAUUGUAUGAAACAAGGAUUGGAAGUGUCACGUUCAGCUCAUUUUCACAAAUUUGGCACUGCUAGUGGGGCUGUCUGCAAGCUGGGAAGCAUCGUGAGUUGUGGGAUUUGGAGGUUGAAAGGAACUGCGAUCGACCCAUCAUUUUAUUAAUCAAAUACAAAUGUAUUAGUUAAUUCGACUUCAUUAAAGACGAGAUUCUUUCGGGGUGCUUGGCCCACUAACUUUAUUAGCUAGGUUAAAUAAUUCAAUUUUAAUAGAGCAUGUUUGUGAGGAUGAAAUGGAAUGAGUUUGUAAUUCGUUCUACUUUCAAACCUUUGUUUGCAUUAAUGAACGUUUUAGGUCCGGUUUGUAAUAUCAAACACAUUCCAUUUUUCACAGUUAACCCAAUAUUCUCUUUUAUUUUGA